rnacentral:misc_RNA from 1 species
GAAAAGAUAAGAAAAGAAAAGAAAAAGAACGUUCACUAAAAUCUUUGAUUUUUCCACCAAAUAACAAAUUGGCCAAAAUUCGCAUUAGAAACUCACUUAGAAUCCAAAAUCUUUAUCCUAAGAAAACUCAACAUUAUAUUUCUUUGUAUUGCAUAAUGUAGGAAGAAAAGAAAAAACAAAGAAAUCAAAAUCUGGCAUUUUCAAAGGCACGCUGAUGUGAUGCAAUAGGCUUUGCCUUCUCCCCCACUUAUUGACCCCCUUUAUGCCUUUGGAUCUGCAUUGCUUGUAGCCUAUGUCGAUGCCUGAUUGGAAUUUAAUUAAGUUUCAAGCUUAUGUUGUUGAGGACUUUAAAAUUUCAAUUUAUUGGAAUUCUUGAGUUCCUAUAAGAAAUAAUAAGUAGCUAUACCAUACUGUAUAAACCUAAAUGGCAAAUAAAUGCAUGCAUGGGCAAGAAUUGCUUCAAUAUCUUAUAUAUAUAAACAACUUAAAACUAAAUCUCCUUAUGAAUAGUGUGAAUAUAAAUGCAUGCAUGGGCAAGAAUUGCUUCAAUAUCUUAU